CGAGAACUGUUGAAUCACGCCCCAAACCUCUGAUUGACCACCUGAGGGUUGACUCCCAAGGAGGAAAGAUUUCUAUCUGGCGAUUCUUCCUUUUGGAGCCUUUUCACAAGCUCAGGACAUGGGGGAGUCCAGAAAUGGACACGGCACUACAGAUGUGGCCUCACCGGUGCUGAAAAGAUGUUCCCAGUGACAGAACCAAAGACUGUCGGUGUGGAAUAUUGGGCUGAAAAGAUCUCCAGGGUCAGUUUCUGCAGCUACAGGCAGAUAUACAAUAUAAUUGUUUAGAGAAGUGUAACAAGCUGAGGAGAGUCUGAUACAGCCUGUUCAGCUCCUCUCACAGGCACCCGGAUUGUGUGAACCAUACAAAUGAUAGCAGACAAAUGGU
ensembl:lncRNA